rnacentral:rRNA from 1 species
GACGAACGCUGGCGGCGUGCUUAACACAUGCAAGUCGAACGGAAAGGCCCUGCUUUUGUGGGGUGCUCGAGUGGCGAACGGGUGAGUAACACGUGAGUAACCUGCCCUUGACUUUGGGAUAACUUCAGGAAACUGGGGCUAAUACCGGAUAGGAGCUCCUGCUGCAUGGUGGGGGUUGGAAAGUUUCGGCGGUUGGGGAUGGACUCGCGGCUUAUCAGCUUGUUGGUGGGGUAGUGGCUUACCAAGGCUUUGACGGGUAGCCGGCCUGAGAGGGUGACCGGCCACAAUAGGACUGAGAUACGGCGCAGACUCCUACGGGAGGCAGCAGUGGGAAGUAUUGCACAAUGGGCGGAAGCCUGAUGCAACGACGCCGCGUGCGGAAUGACGGCCUUCGGGUUGUAAACCGCUUUCGCCUGUGACGAAGCGUGAGUGACGGUAAUGGGUAAAGAAGCACCGGCUAACUACGUG